AGGAUACUUCAAAAAGAAAGGUUUUAAUUCCGGUGCCACAGAAGGAAAUCGUCUUAUUCCGGCGGGUUCUCUUUCCAGCGCAGAUCCGAGUAGUGGUUCCUCUCGCUCCUUCGUCUUUCCCCCUGGCUCUGCUCGUCCAGCCGGGACACGUUAAACCAUCAGGAACGCGGUGUGUGUGUGGAAGUGGAGUCCAUGGCUGCGCUGCACACAGUGGCCACCGUGCGCAGGAGACCUGGAGACAUGGAGAGGAGUUUACGCACCAGUCCGUGGAUGAAAUGGGAAGUGACAGAGCCGAGUGGACAGAAGAGCCGCCCUGAGAAAGUCCCCACAGUGAGUGCAGGAGUUCAACUAAGACGAUAGGAUUGAGAACGCAGAACAUCCUGCGUUACGUUCCCCAGUGAAGAGAACAGGAAGAUGGACUGAGGUAAAGUCCAGCUGUUGUGACUGUGUCCCAUCAGUCUGUCCUUUCUUCAUAUCUCAGCUCCAUCAGUUCUUCCAGUUGGAGUAAGUGAGCAGACAUGGAGGCUUCGCACCAUCGCAUCAGUUCCAGUUCUUGGGAAGGUUCUCCAGGAUCCUGCGUCGGUGUGAAGGGUUCGUCACUCCUGCGGCUCUCUUCACGAUGGCCUCCACGCCCUCCAGCUCUAUCCAGGCCCUCUCCGUGCCAGGGUUGGGAUCUGUGCAACACAAAGUCGUCAACAACACAGUUCACUCCAUGAAGGCGACAGGUCACGUUCCACCUGUUGGUGUCUGAAACGACCACAACAGUGACAGCACCUGUUUUGAAGCUGAACCGUGACGUCACUCCCACUUGGAACGUGGCGAAAACAGGUAGCAGUCUCUGGAGCCCCGCUCAUACCGAUAGGUCGGUGGAAACGCAAUCUUUUCCUCCUCUUCACCAUGAUGAACACAGAACAGAAGAGCAAAGAGAGGUGAGCAAAGGUGAAACCGGAUGAAAAUUGAAUGCAGGAUACUGAUUCUUUGUAAUUGUGAAAUAGCGUUUUUUCCAAUACAUGUAGUAUUUGUAGCUCUCAAUAUAAUAUAAAGGUCAGUGCUCAACUUGAAACUCACUGAAAUUGAGGAAGGCCUUCCUCUUGUGUCUCUCUCGGGUGAGCUGGUCCGCACACAUCAGCUCCUCGAACUCUCUCUUAGACACAUGUUUCAGGAUGUCCUGCAGUCAGUGCCGACAAGAGAGAUACUUUAAUCAACAAAGUCUGGGGUGUUUGACUUCAGGAUUUCUGAUUAUUUAUAUUUAACAAAAGAGCAAUGAAUGACAAAGAUCAGAUAGUUGUUGGUCUGACCUGUACGUCUAAGUCGAGUCUGUAGUUGAGGUCUCCGCACCAGAAGAGAUGAGAGAAGCGCAGGCUGAUGUCAAAAGCACCAAGCUGCUUGUCUCCUAGAGAAAGGAGCCGGAGGACGUCCACGAAGUUCUGGUUCCUCCUGAACGUUGUGAGACAGACAUGUAUUUUCAUGCAGCAGAGAUAUGACACAGGAGCACACACACACAGACACACACACGACGUACAGUAUCCAUACAGAUAAACAGAUAAUGUACCUCAGGACCUUCUCACUUCCAGAAGUCAGGUGACAGUUAACAAAGCCAAAAGAUGUUCCAUUGAAGAGGAACGAGACCCCAACAGCUCCCUUGUUUCCUGAAAUUAAGGAAAUGCACAUCCUGAAACCUCCAUGAUAGUAAAAACAUUUUAUUUUGUUCUUGUUGAUCAAACAUUGGUAUUUCCUUUUUCUUGCUGUCAGCCAUGUAACUGGUAUUUGCUGUGUUUGGUGUUGUGUGUAUCUGCGGGGGCUGGUCUACCUAAUGCGUUCCCCAGGCCGGUCUUCACACUGGCUGUGUUCACAUGGAUGAUGCGACUUUCAUGCUCCGGCUUCACAAACACAGCCAGCCGCAUAUUCCAGAGGGACUGUACUGCCACCUGCAGGACAUUGUCUCGUAUUACAAUGGACAAGGACAGUUUCCAACGAAUGUGUAAACAAUUACACAUUGCUCACCUGGAUUCACUCAUUUUAUGGAAUCAGGCGCUCAGAUUGAUCUUAACGUGUUUUUUUUAAAACCAGGUGGACAUUUUAUUUUUUCACAAGUGCCUUUAACUUAACUAUUUUAUAAUGUCAUUCCAUUAUUGUAGGUAGAGUAUUCUAUUUUCAUUUUAUUAUUUUAAAC